AUGGUUUAGGGGUCGCUGAGGGGAAGAUGGUUUAGGGGUCGCUGAGGGGUCGCUGUCCGGGCCGCGCCAGAAGGACAGAGUGAAUGGAGUUGCCCUUGUGCUUACUGUCACUGGGACAGUUAACAGUUAAUUGAAAAACAAUUAGAAAAACAAACAAGCACUCAGACUCCUGGAAGUCAAUGGGUCCCAGGCGAAGAAGUCCUGCCCCUGUAGACAUGUGGCCCAGAUGGAAGCUUCCUCUAGUGCCUGCAUUCCACCUCCAAAGGAAGGACGCAGUAUGUAUACAGAGCCUCAGUUUUCCUCCAGUGUUUCUGGAGAUCAGGAUGUAGAACACAAGAUCUGAUAUAUUUACAAACACCAUCAGAUACAAACUGACUUGUCCGGAAGAUUUGUGCUCUUGGAAAUUCUCAUCUCUUGCUUUCCAAGGUAAAUUUAAGUAACAAAAUAGGUUAAGAAAGUGUAUUCCUACAAUGAGUAAAACACGGUCAGAGACUUAGCCUUUGGCCUCCAGCUGUGUGGUCUAUUUGACUGUGUAAGGUGCAGCCCUACAAAAAAGCUCAUGAGACUCCAAGUCACAAAACAGUGGCCUUUUUGAAGUGUACAUACUCCCAGAAAAGUGGAUAUCCCUCAUGACAGAGUUCAAGUUCCUCUCUCCAUCAGAACCCUGGAGGUAAGACCAACCUUCACGAUGAAGGCCAAACCCUGACACUUCUGGUCAAACAAUAUGAAGGUGGUGCCUUUAUGAUGAGGCACAGGAAGGUGAACUUGGCAUAGAAGCUGGUCACGGCACAGAAGCCAUCUGCUGCACAGGAAGUCCUUCCCAGGUCCACUGGUGACCC